UUUAUCUGGUGUAUAUCUGGUGAGCACUCUGCAGUGGCAGAUGAAGGCAUCAGAGGUUGCUAGGCAACCUAGAAGCAGGCUGUUGGAAUAACACUGAGUGACCCAAGCUAGCCUUGAACUCUGUAGGGCUGGCAGGCCUUACACUCAUGAGCCUCCUGCCUCAGCCUCCUGGGGAUACAGGUCUGUACUACCGCUUUAAUUUUAGUGUCAUUGUUUUUAAUGAAUUGUAUAUAUUUACACAUAUUACAUCAUCAUACAAUUUUUAAUUUACAUAUUUUUCUCCUUCACUUGGUAGGGAAACACCCUGUGUGAGCCUCUGGGUUGACAGUACUGAUGAGGUACUUAGCAGAGUUAAGAAGACCAAACCUGGCUUGGUGCUGCAUACUUGAUUUCUAGCUACUCAGGAGUGUGAGAGACUAUGAGAGCCCUUCAGAUUCCGUGAUACCUUUCCUGGUGUGAGUGGUUGAUUCCACCAGCAUCAUGAAGUCUGGGUCAAGCAAUGGUGAAUCUUGCAGACAUUUUGAGAAACUGAAUCCAGAAAACUCAUGGAUGGGAAGCCAAUGAAGUAGGCCUGAGAAGAAAUUUAAGGAUUCCAGUUUUUUAAAACUAUCCAGCUUUCUUGUUGCCGCUUACUACGAAUAUUUUCCCCCAAGUUUGGUUUAAAUUUUUUUUUCAAUAAAUGUAAUUACAUCA